rnacentral:rRNA from 1 species
GAUGAACGCUGGCGGCGUGCCUAAUACAUGCAAGUCGAGCGAACGGACGAGAAGCUUGCUUUUCUGAUGUUAGCGGCGGACGGGUGAGUAACACGUGGAUACCCUACCUAUAAGACUGGGAUAACUUCGGGAAACCGGAGCUAAUACCGGAUAAUAUUUUGAACCGCAUGGUUCAAAAGUGAAAGACGGUCUUGCUGUCACUUAUAGAUGGAUCCGCGCUGCAUUAGCUAGUUGGUAAGGUAACGGCUUACCAAGGCAACGAUGCAUAGCCGACCUGAGAGGGGGAUCGGCCACACUGGAACUGAGCCACGGUACAGACUCCUACGGAAGGCAGCAGUAGGGAAUCUUCCGCAAUGGGCGAAAGCCUGACGGAGCAACGCCGCGUGAGUGAUGAAGGUCUUCGGAUCGUAAAACUCUGUUAUUAGGGAAGAACAUAUGUGUAAGUAACUGUGCACAUCUUGACGGUACCUAAUCAGAAAGCCACGGCUAACUACGUG